rnacentral:rRNA from 1 species
UACCCGCAGCACAAGUGGUGGUCAUUAUUAUUGGGCCUAAAGCGUCCGUAGCUGGUUUGUUAAAUGCCUGGGUAAAUCGAUGCGCUUAACGUAUCGAACUCCGGGUAGACUAGCAAACUCGAGACCGGGAGAGGUGUAGGCUACUCGCGGGGUAGGGGUAAAAUCCUGUAAUCCUGCGGGGAGGACCAGUGGCGAAGGCGCUACACUAGAACGGCUCUGACAGUGAGGGACGAAGCCCUGGGGCGCAAACCGG